UCAUUUUUAGUCCUGACUUACACAAGGUCAGCGUUAGCCAGAAUAAAAAGUUCACGGUGGCGGUCCAACUUUUGGACAAAUUCUUGGGGGUGCCAAGGACAUACUCUUCUCAAACACUCUGGGAUGCUCCCCCGUGGGGCUGUGCUCACCUGAAGUGCCAGGAAAGCAGCCAACCACCCCUACCAGCACACCAACCAGCUCGUCAUAAGGGUGGAGCCCUCAUGAACAGGAUUAGCACCCUCCUAAAGAGAACCCUGAGAGCUCCCUCACCCUUUCUGCCAGGGAGGACAGAGAAUACAGCUGUCUGUGAACCAGAAGCAGGGCAUCACCAGACACUGAAUCUGCUGUUGCCUUGACCCUGGACUUCCAGCCUCCAGAAUGGCUUUCUCUAGCUGGGGCUGUGCACCUCUCUAGCUGUGGUUCACAAGCUUCUCAUGGAGGUGACUUCUCACGUGGAGUACGGGCUCAGGAGGUGCUAUUCACAGGCUCCAGAGCUCGGCUCAGAAGUUGUGGGGCACAGGCUCAGUCGCUCCACAGAAUGCGGAAUCUUCCCGGUCCAGGGAUCAAACCAGUGUUCCCUGCAUUGGCAGAAGAGGAAGAGACACCAUGGAUGCAUGUGCAGAGAGGAAAGGCUACAGGAGGACACAGAGGGAAGGUGGCCAUCUGCAAGUCGAGGAGACGCCUCAGGAGAAACUACACCUAUUGGCGCCUUGAUCAUGGACUCCUGGCCUCCACAACUGUGAGAAAAUAAAUUUCUGUUGAUGGAACCACCCA